rnacentral:tRNA from 1 species
GCCUGGGUGGCUCAGUGGUUGAGCAUCUGCCUUUGGCUCAGGUCAUGAUCCCGGGGUCCUGGGAUCAAGUCCCACGUCAGGCU